UCACCUAUGCCAAGGAUCGAUCUAAGGUGGCUUAUGUGAUUUCUCUUCUCAAUGGACGAGCUCGAGAGUGGGCGGCAGCGAACUGGGAGGCAGAGGUAGACUGCAUCCUCAAGUUUUCUCUUUUUAAGGAGGAGAUGAUCCGAGUCUUUGACCGGUCUGCACACGGUCACGAAGCAUCCCGCCUCCUAUCCACCUUGCGCCAGGGAAAGAGGUCAGUCACUGAUUUUUCAAUUGAGUUCCGAACCCUGGCCACAACGAGUGGAUGGAACGGUCCGGCCCUCAUCGCCCGCUUUCUCGAAGGCCUGAACUCCAAGAUUAAGGAUGAGGUCUUUGUCCGAGAGGUUCCUGACAGUUUCGAUUCCCUUGUCGAGCUGGCUCUCCGCAUCGAAAGACGCUUUGACAUGCGACGAAGGGCUCGCAGAAUGGAGGCUUCGUUACUUCCUGCUUCCACAGCGACCCAGCCACCACUGUCAUCUGCUGCUGAUCCCGAGCCGAUGCAGCUAGGGGGGCUUCAUAUAUCCACACAGGAACGCCAACGCAGGAUUAUGAAUCGCCUUUGCAUGUACUGUGCUGCCGCUGAUCAUUUUGUCUCUAGGUGCCCAGUAAAAGCCAGCGCUCGUCAGUAGGCGGAGGGUUGCUGGCGAGCGCUACAUCAUGGGUCUCUCCGUCUAAGUCCUGCACGUCCCUUCCCGUACAUCUCCGCUGGCCGGGAUCGUCAGUUUCCUGCUCUGCAUUGCUUGAUUCGGGGGCGGAGGGGAACUUCGUUGACGAGACUUGGGCUUUGGAACAAGAGUACCUGUUCAGCGCUCGCCCUUGGCUGUUCACCCUGUCUGCUGUCUUCACUAUUUCUGACUGGCUGAAUGCAUCUCGGGGUCCCUGCCUCUGUCUUCGUGGAAGUUUAUGCAGAUUUUCUUUGUUCCAGUCAUCUGGCAGUUUCUGUUCUGGCUCUGAUUAAUGCCUGUGAUUUGUGUUCUAAUUACUCAGUGAAGACUAUUUACUUUAUCCAUUAAAGACUGUUAACUGCA